rnacentral:lncRNA from 1 species
GUUACAUUAGGUGUAUAUUGAAAGAAGGUAUUGUUUAGUAUGUAUCUUUUAAAAAAACUCUUUAUAUUUAAAUGGAGCGAAUAAAGGUUAGGAAGUUUGCAAUAUUCUUUUCCAAAAACAUUUGUAGAUUUUUGUUCUCGUACAUGUACAUCCAUCUUCAAAAUUUCAAGCUUUGUUAAAUGUGCUAUUGUUUUACCUGAAAGAUAAGACCGAAUGUCAUUUCUUUCAUUUGGAAGUCGUCCCAUAAAUUUCAUCAUCUGAAAAUAACUGUUUGAAAUUUUUUUUUUUCCAUUAUUAGAAUUCAGGUCGUUAUUAUUGAGCCUUAGUUGCUGCAGGUUCUCAAGUCCAUUAAACGCUCCAUCAACUAUAAAAUGUAUAUUGUUGAAGGAUAAAUCCAAUACUCUUAGAUUCCUCAUAUUUUUAAACUGAUUAGCGGAUAUAAUUAUUAGAUUGUUAAAGGAUAUAUCCAGUACUGUAAGAUAACUCAUAUUAUUAGAGUGAGUACGUUUUAUAGAAGAAAUAUGGUUGUGUUGCAAUGUCAGAGAAAAAGCAUUCGAUGGUAAUUGUAACAUAGAAAGUAUUUGUCCCUUAAUUUUGUAUGAACAAUCAACAUAGAGCUCUCCGUUCUCAUAAUUUUCUUUACACAUGUAUGUACUCUCCUUGGUAUGUAAAAUGUAACUGCAUGAUACAAAUAUCAUCAGUAUAAAUUUAUUAAAAAGAGUGUGUUCCAUAUCUGCCAGGCUAUUAUCUGUAAAAUAUAAUAGAAUAAGAUCAAGCUUAUUCCAUAAUGGUCUACAGUUCAUUAAUUAUAAAAAAAGAUACCAGCAUUUUAAAGUUAUAGAUACAUGUAUGAUACAUAUUUAGCUUAUUCAUCAACUGUUGUAAAUUUUUUCAUAGACCUGUUCUUGGGAUGCUUAUGAAUACACCACUCACCCUUUAUAUAUAUUUACAUAUACAGGUCAUACAUUAUGCCACAGUUGACUCAAUAUUGCAGUAUUCGUUGGUUAAAAACUUUCUGAAGAAACUACUUUAAUAACUUAAACCAACUUCACAUGCUUGAUGCUCAAUUAUAGGUUGCACUUUGUAAAUACAGCUGUUUCACAAACCACACCAGAAUGUGCAUAUGGACAGGAAAUUGUGAAAAAAGACGUCUACUUAUAGAAUAAUUAAUUGAAUAAAUAGAGAAAUAUAUUCAAAGAGUGGCCAAACAACACAUGGUGGCUACAGCGACAGCAGCCGCAUUAGCUAACUUCUUUUAAAAAAGCUUUAUGAUUUAGAAGGUGGAAGACCUGGAUGCUUCAUACUUUGUAAAUAGAUGUCUUAUGUUACGAAGUUUCCGUCAGUUACAUAACCAAUGUUCUUGACCUUAAUUUCAUGGUUCAGUGACUACUUGAAAAAAAAGUUAAUAUUUUUUGUAAUGUUGAAUUCUCUCUUAUUACAAGUAAUAGGAUAACUAUAUUUAGUAUGUGCGUACCUUUCAAGAUCCUCAUGCCCGUCAGACAGUUUUCACUUGACCUCAACCUCAUUUCAUGGAUCAGUGAACAAGGUUAAGUUUUGGUGGUCAAGUCCAUUUCUCAGGUACUAUGAGCAAUAUGUCUAGGAUAAUUGGUGUAUGGAAGGACUGUAAGGUGUACAUGUCCAACUGGCAGGUGGCAUCUGACCAUGACCUCAUUUUCAUGGUUCACUGGUUAUAUAUAGUUAAAUUUUUGUUUGUUUUGGUAUGUUUUUUCUUAUACUGUAUGCAAUAGGUCUACCUAUUUGGUUAUG